AUCUAGCUAACAAGUCCCAAAUAGGACUUAACGUGCGUCCUGGAU
rnacentral:hammerhead_ribozyme from 1 species